GGCCUACACAGGGUCAGGAUCAUCAAUGUCACUGUCUUCUACCCCCACAUCUUGUCCCACUGGAAGGUCUGAGGGGCAAUAAUAUGCAUUGUGCUGUCAUCCCCUGUCAUAGCAAUGCUUUCUUCUGGAAUACCUCCUGAAGGACCUGCCUGAAGCUCUUCUCCAGGAGGUGCCACUCUUUUCAGAAAUGUGUCCAUGUCCACAGUCAAAUUUGAGUUUCAGCUAUCAACAACUGCACAAGAUACUAAUCCUUGAGGAAGGACCUAGUUUCUGCCUUGGGUGAGAGUUAAACUGGGGUCAAGGUGGGUCUCAACCAAGAACCUAGAAGAGUAGAGGGACUUCCUCCCCCAGGAUCAGCCAAUUCCUAGAGAUAGGAAAACACUGGCCAGCAAGUGCAACUCUCCUAUACAAAGUAAUCAAUCAAGAGCUCACACUCCAGCCAUCUCUUUUUUUGGUUCUUGCACUGUGGGCCACUAUUCCCCUGCCUUAAUCACACCAGAGCCAGGAACCAAACAACUAAGGACAGCCCCUCUACCCCAGAGCCCACUGAAAUUAUUCAAACCGGCCAAUUCUAAACCUGCUUUCCCUGUCUUGCCCAUUACUUCCUGUGGAAACCACAAUAAAGGAUCUUGCCC
rnacentral:lncRNA from 1 species